CAACUACAACACCAACAGUCUGAUCUGAAAAGAACACAAUGAUCAUAUUCUUCUGUUUAAUGUUGAAAGUGAUGCUGGUUUCAGGGUCUUCAGUCCACCAGAAUCCACCUCAUAUUUACA